CUUCCUGGUGUCACCAACUUUUUUUCUUUUAAAAAUCUCAAUAUAUUGACUUUUUUCUCAAUAUAUUGAGAUUUUUCUCAAUAUAUUGAGAUGUUUCUCAAUAUAUCGAGAUUUUUCUCAAUAUAUCGAGAUUUUUCUCAAUAUAUUGGCAUUUUUCUCAAUAUAUUGAGAUUUUUCUCACUAUAUUGACUUUUUCAUUUGUGUGUGCGUCCUGAACAACGAGACGUGAUCAAGAGAUUCCAGCGUUCGAGCCGGUUGUUAUACUUACAUUUUGAGUUUAUUUUGUGCCAUCUGUUUGUAUGUAGUAGGCAGGUAGGUAGCAAUGUAGGUAAUAAUAAUUAUUUUCUCUACGACUAUUAAAUAAUGCCCUGAUUCUUGCUGCAUAUUACAUUGAAUAAUAGUUUAAAUUCUUCACAGCGUGAUUUCUUUGUAAGAAAUCACGCUCGAUUAGCCAAUCACAUGCUUUUAUUUUUCAGAAUUCACGGUAAUAUGCAAUAAUCACAUCGCUUUGGAAAAAACUGACGGAGCGUAUCUUAGCAACCGCAUAAGUCACCAUUUGAAACGUCAAAAACGUAACUAAUUUCUUUUAAUUUUUUAAUAGUCGUAAAGGAAGUAUAGUCUUCUACUUGCCUAGAAUGGCUAUUAUUCACUUGGAACUUCAUCCACGUGAAUAAUAGCUUCUAUUCUACGCUCGUUGAAGAAUGUACUAUAAUUUUAGUUAUUAAUCUUAAUGUUUGUAAAAUCAUACGUAGGUACCUACACCUACCCUAAAUAUUAUACUAAUUCUAGUUACUUCUAUUUACAUUUUAUUUUGUUUUGUGUUCGGUGAUGGUAUUGAGCACAAAUGGUGGAUUCGCGAAUUGGUUUUCUUGAAGUUUAGUUGGAGAUGGCUAUCUAAUAAGUUAUCUUCGUGAACCAACCAAUAGGGUCGAAACUUAAAGUUGGAGGACGAUCGACGAUCGUAUCAUAUGGUGUGUCACAUUUCGUCUCACACACGUCGCAGUAAUGCGAUUGAACAAUACUGUCUCCUUUAACCACUAUUUCAGUUGUACGAUCUGCAUUUUACGUGGUUUGAGAAAAAAUGUCGGAAUUAGAAGAUUUCUUGAAACGGCAUAAUGUGCCAGAGGAAGUUGUUCAAAAUAUUAUUGCAGAACAGAUUUCUGAAGAAGUUAUAAAUAUGAUGUCCGAUACAGAACUAAAAACAUUUUUACCAGCUUAUGGGCACAGGAAGUUGGUUAGAGAGUUUUGUUUGAUGCGAGCACCAAGUACAUCGAAACAAGAAGCUUCUAAACAAUCACUACUGGAAAAA